rnacentral:rRNA from 1 species
AUACGGAGGAUGCGAGCGUUAUCCGGAUUUAUUGGGUUUAAAGGGUGCGUAGGCGGAUAAAUAAGUCAGUGGUGAAACCCUGCAGCUUAACUGUAGACUUGCCGUUGAUACUGUUUAUCUUGAGUUUGGUCAAGGCAGGCGGAAUGUGUAAUGUAGCGGUGAAAUGCUUAGAUAUUACACAGAACACCGAUAGCGAAGGCAGCUUGCUGGGCCGGUACUGACGCUGAUGCACGAAAGCGUGGGGAUCGAACAGGAUUAGAUACCCUGGUAGUCCACGCCGUAAACGAUGAUCACUAGCUGUUAGCGAUAUACAGUUAGCGGCAAAGCAAAAGCAUUAAGUGAUCCACCUGGGGAGUACGGCCGCAAGGCUGAA